rnacentral:rRNA from 1 species
GUGAAGUCGAUGCUUACACAUGCAGUCGAUUCAAGUUACCUUCGGGUAAUGAGGAUGGCGGACGGGUGAGUAACGCGUAAGGAACUUGCCUCUUGGACUGGGACAACUGUUGGAAACGACAGCUAAUACCGGAUAUUAUGAGAUUCUCGCAUGAGAAACUUAUGAAAGCUAUAUGCGCCAAGAGAGAGCCUUGCGUUCCAUUAGCUAGUUGGUGGGGUAACGGCCCACCAAGGCGACGAUGGAUAGCCGGCCUGAGAGGGUGAACGGCCACAAGGGGACUGAGACACGGCCCUUACUCCUACGGGAGGCAGCAGUGGGGAAUAUUGGACAAUGGGCCACAAGCCUGAUCCAGCAAUUCUGUGUGCACGAUGAAGGUCUUCGGAUUGUAAAGUGCUUUCAGUUGGGAAGAAGAAAGUGACGGUACCAACAGAAGAAGCGACGGCUAAAUACGUGCCAGCAGCCGCGGUAAUACGUAUGUCGCAAGCGUUAUCCGGAUUUAUUGGGCGUAAAGCGCGUCUAGGCGGAAAAAUAAGUCUGAUGUUAAAAUGCGGGGCUCAACUCCGUAUUGCGUUGGAAACUGUUUUUCUAGAGUACUGGAGAGGUGGGCGGAACUACAAGUGUAGAGGUGAAAUUCGUAUAUAUUUGUAGGAAUGCCGAUGGAGAAGUCAGCUCACUGGACAGAUACUGACGCUGAAGCGCGAAAACGUGGGGAGCAAACACGAUUAAACACCCUGGAAGUCCACGCCAUAAUAGAUGAUGACUAUGUGUUGGGGGACAAAACUCAUCGCCCGAUCUAACGCGAUACGAGAUCCAUCUGGGGAGUACGCUCGAUAAUGUGAAUCUCAAAGGUAAUGUACGUGACGCAGACGAGCUGGAGGAAUAGGGGUUUAAUUUCGACCCUACCGAAGCGAUGAUAGCACGGUGUAGUAUUCAACCUUUCC